GCCCCCUUUGACCCUUAGGAGGUGCAACCUGCCCAGUGGCUGGGAAUAACUAUGGAUAACAACAGUUAAAUGGCCGCGGUAACUCUGACCGUGAUAAAGUAGCAUAAUCACUUGUCACUUAAUUGGUGACUGGUAUGAAUGGUUAAACGAAUAUUCACCUGUCUCAGAUAGAGACUUUAUAAAAUUGAAUUUGCAGUGAAGAUGCUGCGGGUAAAUUGCAAGACGAAAAGACCCUAUUGAGCUUUACUGGAAGUUUGCAUUUAUAAUUAAUAAUAGUAUUAUACAUUUUGCCUGUGCAAACUUGACAGUUUGGUUGGGGCGACCACCCCUAAAAAAGUAACAGGGGAGACUUCAUGGUUAAUAUAAUGCACUGAGCCUGACUGCGUAAUUACAAUUUAUACAGACACAAAUGUGUGGGGCAUAAUGACCCGCUUGCGAUAGCCUACUACCAAGCGAUCACGGAAAAAGUUACCAUAGGGAUAACAGGGUAAUAUUUUCGAAGAGCUCUAAUCGAUGAAAAUGUUUGCCACCUCGAUGUUGAAUUGUGAUAUCCUGGGGGUGCAGCAGCUCCCAAAGGUUG
rnacentral:rRNA from 1 species